UACGUAGGUGGCAAGCGUUGUCCGGAUUUACUGGGCGUAAAGAGCGCGCAGGCGGUCGUCCAAGUCGCGUGUGAAAGCCCCCGGCUCAACUGGGGAGGGUCACGCGAUACUGGUCGACUCGAAGGCAGGAGAGGGUAGUGGAAUUCCCGGUGUAGUGGUGAAAUGCGUAGAUAUCGGCAGGAACACCCAGGGGGAACCCAGCCGCCUGGACAAGCGCUGACGCUGAGGUGCGAGAGCGUGGGGAGCGAACCGG
rnacentral:rRNA from 1 species